UGAGCCUCCCAAUGGGGGUUUUGAUUACUUGUCUUAACUCAUUGCUGCGAGAGGAUAUGGAAAUACCGGGCGUCCGUCCUUCCAGUCUUGUUAGCGCUGUCAUUUGUACAAAUUCAAUGCUUGCCAGAUUUUUGUGAAACUUAUAUCAUCAUGCAGCAAUGUCUUUCACACAUGCGAGUAUAAAUCCUGAUCAAAUAUUUUUAACCAAUAUAUGCCCCUUGGAAAUAUAAAUUGUGAAUGCAAAUCUCAUUGUAUUUGUUUGGAAGCUUUUUCUCUCGAGAUAUAAAUUCAAAAAAAGAAAAAGUGCUUUGUUUACUUCUUGCCCUCUUGUACAUAAAAAUGUAUCUUGGAUGCGGGGGACAUUGGAUCUCUGAUCUUUUAUUGAAAACAACAUUAAUAUUUGUACCUAGAUGGAAAAGGGUAUUCGUGAAUCCUGGAAUAAAAACACUUCAUUACAAAUAGAGUCGUCGUCUUUCCUGCCAAAGAAAAAGUAAAAUCACAAAAAUACUGAACUCCAAUGAAAAUUCAAAAAGGAAAGUCCCCAAUCAAAUGGGGAAAACGAUAUUAGGAUAUGAUGUUUCAGAUUUUUUUUAUCCAUCUUGUUUACAUAAAGGAAAAACCA
rnacentral:lncRNA from 1 species